rnacentral:rRNA from 1 species
GACAGAGGAUGCAAGCGUUAUCCGGAAUGAUUGGGCGUAAAGCGCGUGUAGGCGGUCCGGUAAGUCCGCUGUGAAAGUCGGGGGCUCAACCCUCGAAUGCCGGUGGAUACUGUCGGGCUAGAGUGCGGAAGAGGCGAGUGGAAUUCCUGGUGUAGCGGUGAAAUGCGCAGAUAUCAGGAGGAACACCAAUUGCGAAGGCAGCUCGCUGGGACGUUACUGACGCUGAGACGCGAAAGCGUGGGGAGCAAACAGG